rnacentral:rRNA from 1 species
UACGUAGGGUGCAAGCGUUGUCCGGAAUUAUUGGGCGUAAAGAGCUCGUAGGCGGUUUGUCGCGUCUGCCGUGAAAGUCCGGGGCUCAACUCCGGAUCUGCGGUGGGUACGGGCAGACUAGAGUGAUGUAGGGGGAGACGUGAAUUCCUGGUGUAGCGGUGAAAAUGCGCAGAUAUCAGGAGGAACACCGAUGGCGAAGGCAGGUCUCUGGGCAUUAACUGACGCUGAGGAGCGAAAGCAUGGGGAGCGAACAGG